GGUGAACUCGCGGAAGGAUCAUUA
rnacentral:rRNA from 1 species